UACGGGGGGGGCAAGCGUUGUUCGGAAUUACUGGGCGUAAAGGGCUCGUAGGUGGCCAACUAAGUCGGACGUGAAAUCCCUCGGCUUAACCGGGGAACUGCGUCCGAUACUGGUUGGCUUGAGUUUGGGAGAGGGAUGCGGAAUUCCAGGUGUAGCAGUGAAAUGCGUAGAUAUCAGAAGGAACAUCAGUGGCGAAGGCGGCUUUCUGGACCAAUACUGACGAUCAGGUGCGCAAGCGUGGGGAGCAAACAGG
rnacentral:rRNA from 1 species